AUUGAACGCUGGCGGCAGGCCUAACACAUGCAAGUCGAGCGGAUGAAGGGAGCUUGCUCCUGGAUUCAGCGGCGGACGGGUGAGUAAUGCCUAGGAAUCUGCCUGGUAGUGGGGGAUAACGUCCGGAAACGGGCGCUAAUACCGCAUACGUCCUGUGGGAGAAAGUGGGGGAUCUUCGGACCUCACGCUAUCAGAUGAGCCUAGGUCGGAUUAGCUAGUUGGUGGGGUAAAGGCCUACCAAGGCGACGAUCCGUAACUGGUCUGAGAGCACGAUCAGUCACACUGGAAGUGAGGCACGGUCCAGACUCCUACGGGAGGCAACAGUGGGGAAUAUUGGACAAUGGGCGAAAGCCUGAUCCAGCCAUGCCGCGUGUGUGAAGAAGGUCUUCGGAUUGUAAAGCGCUUUAAGUUGGGAGGAAGGGCAGUAAGUUAAUACCUGGCUGUAUUGACGUUACCAGCAGAAUAAGCACCGGCUAACUUCGUG
rnacentral:rRNA from 1 species